GAGGAAAGCAUAGGCCUGGUCCCUCUGUGAGGACCACCAGGUGUGCUGUGGCAGAUGAAGCCUCACAGAGUUUCCAGCAUGUCUUGCUGCUGACAUUGGGCUCUCUGUCCUCACAUGCCAGAGCCCAGGACCGUCUCUGCUUGUAGACACGGAGCACAACCUGUCAGGAGGAGGAGACCAGCUUCAUCUGUCUCUCCCAGCCUGCUGCACUCAUUCCAUGGAUCCUGGCUGGAGAGACGCUCCUGGACGUGUCAGAGCAGUUAUGAGGACACGUUUCUGAGAGGCUUGCAGCUUCCUAAUGUUCUUCCUGAGUUCGUGAGAUUGCUGGAGUGUAGUGGUGUGAUCUCGGCUCACUGCAACCUCUGCCUCCCGCGUUCAAGCGAUUCUCCUGCCUCAACCUCCUGAGUAGCUGGGACUACAGCUGCUCUACAGGUUAUUUUCCUCUUUUGCGGGCGGGAAGAAAUGGCUUCAGAGAGGCUGUGAAGGCCACAGGGCAAGCAGAGGCUGGAACCAGGAGUCCAAACCAG